rnacentral:rRNA from 1 species
UUAAGCGACUAAGCGUACACGGUGGAUGCCCUGGCAGUCAGAGGCGAUGAAGGACGUGCUAAUCUGCGAUAAGCGUCGGUAAGGUGAUAUGAACCGUUAUAACCGGCGAUUUCCGAAUGGGGAAACCCAGUGUGAUUCGUCACACUAUCAUUAACUGAAUCCAUAGGUUAAUGAGGCGAACCGGGGGAACUGAAACAUCUAAGUACCCCGAGGAAAAGAAAUCAACCGAGAUUCCCCAGUAGCGGCGAGCGAACGGGGAGCAGCCCAGAGCCUGAAUCAGUGUGUGUGUUAGUGGAAGCGUCUGGAAAGGCGCGCGAUACAGGGUGACAGCCCCGUACACAAAAAUGCACAUACUGUGAGCUCGAUGAGUAGGGCGGGACACGUGGUAUCCUGUCUGAAUAUGGGGGGACCAUCCUCCAAGGCUAAAUACUCCUGACUGACCGAUAGUGAACCAGUACCGUGAGGGAAAGGCGAAAAGAACCCCGGCGAGGGGAGUGAAAAAGAACCUGAAACCGUGUACGUACAAGCAGUGGGAGCCUCUUUUAUGGGGUGACUGCGUACCUUUUGUAUAAUGGGUCAGCGACUUAUAUUCUGUAGCAAGGUUAACCGAAUAGGGGAGCCGAAGGGAAACCGAGUCUUAACCGGGCGUUAAGUUGCAGGGUAUAGACCCGAAACCCGGUGAUCUAGCCAUGGGCAGGUUGAAGGUUGGGUAACACUAACUGGAGGACCGAACCGACUAAUGUUGAAAAAUUAGCGGGAUGACUUGUGGCUGGGGGUGAAAGGCCAAUCAAACCGGGAGAUAGCUGGUUCUCCCCGAAAGCUAUUUAGGUAGCGCCUCGUGAAUUCAUCUCCGGGGGUAGAGCACUGUUUCGGCAAGGGGGUCAUCCCGACUUACCAACCCGAUGCAAACUGCGAAUACCGGAGAAUGUUAUCACGGGAGACACACGGCGGGUGCUAACGUCCGUCGUGAAGAGGGAAACAACCCAGACCGCCAGCUAAGGUCCCAAAGUCAUGGUUAAGUGGGAAACGAUGUGGGAAGGCCCAGACAGCCAGGAUGUUGGCUUAGAAGCAGCCAUCAUUUAAAGAAAGCGUAAUAGCUCACUGGUCGAGUCGGCCUGCGCGGAAGAUGUAACGGGGCUAAACCAUGCACCGAAGCUGCGGCAGCGACACUGUGUGUUGUUGGGUAGGGGAGCGUUCUGUAAGCCUGUGAAGGUGUACUGUGAGGUAUGCUGGAGGUAUCAGAAGUGCGAAUGCUGACAUAAGUAACGAUAAAGCGGGUGAAAAGCCCGCUCGCCGGAAGACCAAGGGUUCCUGUCCAACGUUAAUCGGGGCAGGGUGAGUCGACCCCUAAGGCGAGGCCGAAAGGCGUAGUCGAUGGGAAACAGGUUAAUAUUCCUGUACUUGGUGUUACUGCGAAGGGGGACGGAGAAGGCUAUGUUGGCCGGGCGACGGUUGUCCCGGUUUAAGCGUGUAGGCUGGUUUUCCAGGCAAAUCCGGAAAAUCAAGGCUGAGGCGUGAUGACGAGGCACUACGGUGCUGAAGCAACAAAUGCCCUGCUUCCAGGAAAAGCCUCUAAGCAUCAGGUAACAUCAAAUCGUACCCCAAACCGACACAGGUGGUCAGGUAGAGAAUACCAAGGCGCUUGAGAGAACUCGGGUGAAGGAACUAGGCAAAAUGGUGCCGUAACUUCGGGAGAAGGCACGCUGAUAUGUAGGUGAAGUCCCUCGCGGAUGGAGCUGAAAUCAGUCGAAGAUACCAGCUGGCUGCAACUGUUUAUUAAAAACACAGCACUGUGCAAACACGAAAGUGGACGUAUACGGUGUGACGCCUGCCCGGUGCCGGAAGGUUAAUUGAUGGGGUCAGCGCAAGCGAAGCUCUUGAUCGAAGCCCCGGUAAACGGCGGCCGUAACUAUAACGGUCCUAAGGUAGCGAAAUUCCUUGUCGGGUAAGUUCCGACCUGCACGAAUGGCGUAAUGAUGGCCAGGCUGUCUCCACCCGAGACUCAGUGAAAUUGAACUCGCUGUGAAGAUGCAGUGUACCCGCGGCAAGACGGAAAGACCCCGUGAACCUUUACUAUAGCUUGACACUGAACAUUGAGCCUUGAUGUGUAGGAUAGGUGGGAGGCUUUGAAGUGUGGACGCCAGUCUGCAUGGAGCCGACCUUGAAAUACCACCCUUUAAUGUUUGAUGUUCUAACGUGGACCCGUGAUCCGGGUUGCGGACAGUGUCUGGUGGGUAGUUUGACUGGGGCGGUCUCCUCCUAAAGAGUAACGGAGGAGCACGAAGGUUGGCUAAUCCUGGUCGGACAUCAGGAGGUUAGUGCAAUGGCAUAAGCCAGCUUGACUGCGAGCGUGACGGCGCGAGCAGGUGCGAAAGCAGGUCAUAGUGAUCCGGUGGUUCUGAAUGGAAGGGCCAUCGCUCAACGGAUAAAAAGGUACUCCGGGGAUAACAGGCUGAUACCGCCCAAGAGUUCAUAUCGACGGCGGUGUUUGGCACCUCGAUGUCGGCUCAUCACAUCCUGGGGCUGAAGUAGGUCCCAAGGGUAUGGCUGUUCGCCAUUUAAAGUGGUACGCGAGCUGGGUUUAGAACGUCGUGAGACAGUUCGGUCCCUAUCUGCCGUGGGCGCUGGAGAACUGAGGGGGGCUGCUCCUAGUACGAGAGGACCGGAGUGGACGCAUCACUGGUGUUCGGGUUGUCAUGCCAAUGGCACUGCCCGGUAGCUAAAUGCGGAAGAGAUAAGUGCUGAAAGCAUCUAAGCACGAAACUUGCCCCGAGAUGAGUUCUCCCUGACCCUUUAAGGGUCCUGAAGGAACGUUGAAGACGACGACGUUGAUAGGCCGGGUGUGUAAGCGCAGCGAUGCGUUGAGCUAACCGGUACUAAUGAACCGUGAGGCUUAACCUU